GGAGGUUUAGCUCAGCUGGGAGAGCAUCUGCCUUACAAGCAGAGGGUCAGCGGUUCGAUCCCGWYWACCUGUG
rnacentral:tRNA from 1 species